GGGAGUGACUUGGAUUCGACGGGGGACAUUCGAGAUUGGAGAGCGUGCCGUGGAAGGUCUGAUGGCCACGUAAAAAUCAGGCCACAAGCAAACAGCCAACGACAAUGUCGAGGCUCCCGCUCACCGCAUGGCAGCCUGAAAGGGCUGCCCUCUGAGGAGGGUAGGAUGAAGCGGACCUAGCGGUCUUAGCUUCCGUGGAUCCCGGUAGGCGUCGCAGUAGCGGGUGAAGCGAGUUUUACAGCGGCUGUGCAACAGGAAGAAGACCGUGUCCUGAUCCGGUUGCAGAGAAAAAUAAAAGGUACGGGGUUGAGUCGCCGAGUCACACUCGGAUACGCACGUAGCGCUCUGAUCAAGAGGUCUUUCGGACGGGGGUUCGAUACCCCCCACUUCCACCA
rnacentral:tmRNA from 1 species